UUAUGUGUCGCUCGGCACCUUACGAGAAAUCAAAGUCUUUGGGUUCUGGGGGAGUAUGGUCGCAAGGCUGAAACUUAAAGGAAUUGACGGAAGGGCACCACCAGGUGUAAACACGCUCACAGCUAGCCGCAGUAGCUCUGCACCGAACAGCAGCCUGAAAAGGUGAGGUGGUUGCCCAGGAAUUUACUUCCAAAUUUAAAUGCUAGUCCAAGUGUAAUGCUUGGGCGAGACCCUCAAAUUGACGGGAAACUCCUAAAGCUUCAGACACCAAGCCUCAUUCCGAAAGGGUGGGGUGGCCAGGUUAAUAGCCUCGGGUAUGGUAAAAGAACUGAAGAUGUAACAAUGGACAAUCCGCAGCCAAGGCCCUAAGGAGUCUAUCUUGACUUACGGGACAGGUUCAGAGACUAGAUGGGGGGUCGGUCUCAUCAUGUGUAUGUGGCUUAAGGUAUAGUCCGGCUUCAAGUGAAAACUUGUAAGAUUUGGUUUACCCAAUAAAACGGGAGCCUGCGGCUUAAUUUGACUCAACACGG
rnacentral:rRNA from 1 species